rnacentral:lncRNA from 1 species
AUGGCCAAAACCAUGAGUACACUGAGGUAACGACAAUAGAGACAUCAAAGCGUUAAUUUGCAGCUUUGGGAGCUACUUUUCCUGCUUCCCUUUCAUUCCCAUUCCCUGUAAGGGUAACUUUCUUGAAAGAAGAUGCGAGCAACAUUUUGUCUUGGCCCAUUGACUCGAUAAGAUGAUGCGAGUUUUGGGAGAAUUAUUUGUAUAUUAUGUUUUAUAGUUUAAUUAAAU